AUUUUGUUCUUUCUGUUAAAAAUAGGGAGUUUGUUUUGAUGUUCCAGCUGAUAAAGUCAAAGAGAUCCAGGAGAAUUGGAGAGACAACCGCCGCUGGCAGCUGACUGUAGCCACAGAGCUCCCAGAGCUGGAGGAGAAGCCACUCGGUAACCGUGGUGACAGAGGCUUUGGUAACCGUGGUGACAGAGGGGGGUUCCGAGGCGGCAGGGGGCGAAAUUCUUGGGGAAACGGUGGCCGUAGCAACGGGUACCGAAGUGGCGGUGGUGGAGGAGGAUAUGGAAACAGAGGAGGACACAAACGAACCUUCAGCCAAGCUUUUGAUUACUGAAGAGUCGACCUGUGGACUGAACGUCACUCAACUUUACCUGCCUUUAGUUUUUAUUAUUUUAUUAUUUUUAAGUGACAUGUUACCUGAAACCCUUGGAAUGUCUUGCUCCUACUGUUCAAAAGAACAAAUCUGAAUAGAAAAUUAAAACGCCAAAUCUUGAAUGGCUUCACAUCACAAAGAUUAGUAAAAUGGCUUGUUAUUAAAGCUAACGUUUAGACAACAUGGUCAAAAAAUUAAGAUUGGAAUGUGUCACCCAUUGUGGUUGUAGUUACCUUUUUUUAAGCUGGGUGUUGGGGGAACAGCAGCAGUAAUCAGACAUGAGCCUUUGUUAAACAAGAUGCACAAAUACCAAAUAUAAUAAAUUACAUUUGUUAUAUGAUUAUGGUUUGUCAUAUUAACAGUGUGCACAUCACUGUCGACUCCAUCGUGUUUGUUCUGUGCUUGUUUUGCUCUAAAAGAGCAGAGCGUAACUUUUACAAAGUGCUCACUGUCAGAUUGCUGCAUGACCAUCGUCUGAAACCUCUGCUCAGAAAUACAUUGGAUGAUUGCUUUGCAAUUGCCUCUAUUUAAUAACCGUUUCGCUUACAUUCAUUUGAAUGAAAUGACUUGUUCAUUAAAAAAAUGUCCACUCA